GCUGCCCUAGUACAACAAGUACGGUUGACUUCCAAUCAUCAAAUCUUAGUACCCUAAGGGGCAGUA
rnacentral:tRNA from 1 species